UAAGGAAUAUUGGACAAUGGAGGCAACUCUGAUCCAGCCAUGCCGCGUGAAGGAAUAAGGCCCUAUGGGUUGUAAACUUCUUUUAGACGGGACAAAACCCCUUUACGUGUAAAGGGUUGAUGGUACUGUCAGAAUAAGCACCGGCUAACUCCGUGCCAGCAGCCGCGGUAAUACGGAGGGUGCGAGCGUUAUCCGGAUUUACUGGGUUUAAAGGGUGCGUAGGUGGGCUUAUAAGUCAGUGGUGAAAUCUCCGAGCUUAACUUGGAAACUGCCGUUGAUACUAUAGGUCUUGAAUUAUCUGGAGGUAAGCGGAAUAUGUCAUGUAGCGGUGAAAUGCUUAGAUAUGACAUAGAACACCAAUUGCGAAGGCAGCUUACUACAUAUAAAUUGACGCUGAGGCACGAAAGCGUGGGGAUCAAACA
rnacentral:rRNA from 1 species